UACGUAGGGUGCAAGCGUUGUCCGGAAUUAUUGGGCGUAAAGAGCUCGUAGGCGGCUUGUCGCGUCGGCUGUGAAAACCUAGGGCUCGACCCUGGGCCUGCAGCCGAUACGGGCAAGCUAGAAUUCGGUAGGGGAGACUGGAAUUCCUGGUGUAGCGGUGAAAUGCGCAGAUAUCAGGAGGAACACCGGUGGCGAAGGCGGGUCUCUGGGCCGAUAUUGACGCUGAGGAGCGAAAGCGUGGGGAGCGAACAGG
rnacentral:rRNA from 1 species